rnacentral:rRNA from 1 species
UGAGGAAUAUUGGUCAAUGGACGCGAGUCUGAACCAGCCAAGUAGCGUGAAGGAUGACUGCCCUAUGGGUUGUAAACUUCUUUUAUAUGGGAAUAAAGUUGUCCACGUGUGGAUUUUUGUAUGUACCAUAUGAAUAAGGAUCGGCUAACUCCGUGCCAGCAGCCGCGGUAAUACGGAGGAUCCGAGCGUUAUCCGGAUUUAUUGGGUUUAAAGGGAGCGUAGGCGGAUUGUUAAGUCAGUUGUGAAAGUUUGCGGCUCAACCGUAAAAUUGCAGUUGAUACUGGCAGUCUUGAGUGCAGUAGAGGUGGGCGGAAUUCGUGGUGUAGCGGUGAAAUGCUUAGAUAUCACGAAGAACUCCGAUUGCGAAGGCAGCCUGCUAAGCUGCAACUGACAUUGAGGCUCGAAAGUGUGGGUAUCAAACAGGAUUAGAUACCCUGGUAGUCCACACGGUAAACGAUGAAUACUCGCUGUUUGCGAUAUACGGCAAGCGGCCAAGCGAAAGCGUUAAGUAUUCCACCUGGGGAGUACGCCGGCAACGGUGAAACUCAAAGGAAUUGACGGGGGCCCGCACAAGCGGAGGAACAUGUGGUUUAAUUCGAUGAUACGCGAGGAACCUUACCCGGGCUUAAAUUGCACUCGAAUGAUCCGGAAACGGUUCAGCUAGCAAUAGCGAGUGUGAAGGUGCUGCAUGGUUGUCGUCAGCUCGUGCCGUGAGGUGUCGGCUUAAGUGCCAUAACGAGCGCAACCCUUGUUGUCAGUUACUAACAGGUGAUGCUGAGGACUCUGACAAGACUGCCAUCGUAAGAUGUGAGGAAGGUGGGGAUGACGUCAAAUCAGCACGGCCCUUACGUCCGGGGCUACACACGUGUUACAAUGGGGGGUACAGAGGGCCGCUACCACGCGAGUGGAUGCCAAUCCCUAAAACCCCUCUCAGUUCGGACUGGAGUCUGCAACCCGACUCCACGAAGCUGGAUUCGCUAGUAAUCGCGCAUCAGCCACGGCGCGGUGAAUACGUUCCC